CAGUGCAGCCCCUAGCACCCGACCUAGCUCCUAGUCCUCCCUCCCUGUGCCCCCGCCCAGCGCGCCGGCCACCACCACCUUCCUCCCUAGCUAGCCGCCACCCCUCUCCAGCAGCCAUGUACAGCGGAGCGACGACCACGGGUCUGGCCUAGGUGAGUCCCGGCCUCCCUCCUCCCUUCGUCCAAGGCCAGGAGUUCCCCUCCCGACCUGAUCUGACGGAGCCACAUCCGGCUGGGAGAGCCUCCAUAGAGCCUCCACGUCGGUGGAGCAACAGCUGCCCGAUAGAAGGUGGGUGUCCAAUUGUUGUCCAGCAGCUCACCGUUUUCUCGAUCUGGUGCAUGGUUCAACCUACACGGAGGGCGGUGGAACCGAGACACGGCAGCUUCACCUCCACAAGCGGCUUUCUUAUCGACCUCCUCUGAGCGGCGGGGGCGGCGGCCAGCUCUGCAGGAACGGUACAUCAUGUGUGGCAACUUCAGAUAUUGUUUCUAAUUGACCAUGAAAUUCCCCACUACAUGAUGUGUGGCAAAAAUACUUCAGGUACUGAUUCUAACUGAGUGUGCAUCUCUACUGACAGCUUUCUACCAGGGAGUGAGGAUAUGCAGAUUUUCGGAUGGACAGUGGCGACCCAAUCUCUUGCUACCAAACAUAACACCUACAGAAGAACUACUGUAUUGGAAGAUGUUUGUGACAUUUGUUGGACGGAAAGUGAAGACGAGUAUCAUACUGUAGUCUCAUGUACUCGCAGUAGGGCGAUGAGAUGUGCUAUGAGGGACUUCUGGGACCUUCCAAAGGAACAUGCCUUUGGUCCAAUAGGCAAGGAUUUGUUAUAGUGUCUGCUUAUCCAUAAUUCCGAGCAUAUCAGAUGCAAAAUCUUGAUGAUUCUUUGGAAAGCAUGGCAGCUUAGAAAUAAUGUAAUCCAUGGAGAUGGGAAGGAGACAGUGUCGGGCGCCGUGCAUCAGUUACUUAGGCUCGGUGAUGAUCUAGAGAUGGCUACACUUGCAAGUGACAAAAGAGGAAGCAAAAGCACCCUUUCUGUGCAUGUCCAGAGCAUUUGCAAGAUAGUUACCCCUGCUUGAAAUUGGUGGCGCACACCACCAGAAGGAAUUGCCAAACUGAAUUUUGACGCUGCAUUCUUACAGGAGACAAAGAUGACUUGGGGAGGAGCAGUUGUUUGAGAAUUCAGUGGCAAUCCUCUUCUGUCUGUCGGUCGUCAGUUACAACAGUGCAUGUCGAUAGAAGAAGCCGAAGCCUCUACGGUUCUGAUGGGUUUGUCUGAGCUAAAGAAAAAUUUUCACGGGGCAUUUACUAAUUGAGACAGAUUGUGGCUCCAUUCUACGAGAGCUUCAAUCGGAAGGAAUGUGCAGAUCGUUGUGGUUUGCUGUGAUGACAUAUAUUAAAGAACAGAUCAAAAUCUUUGCAAGCGUGUAGGUUAACAUCAUAAAGCGGGAUCAAACCAAAUUGGCCCAUGAGAUUGCGGUGACGGCAAGAAUAUUCGGCGAUCACCUCUGUUUAACAGAUGUGCAUGAUAAUGUUAGACAAAUUCUGAUGUCAGACUGUAUUCCCACCAAUGCAUAGCUUGUUGCUUUGGUUCUAAAAAAACAAAAACAAAUUAUGCUAUAGAUUUUCACUCUUAGCUACAUGCGUACACAUAGGCCUUUAUCCAGUGCAUUUCAAAUAAACCUGGGCAUUUAAUGGUUUAUUGGUUUAUGUGUGCAAGAUACAAGAAGAAGACUUAAGGAUCUUAGUAAGGAGCAUGUUGAGAGUGCAGAUGGUGCUGCAGAGUAAUAAUGUUGACAUUGUGAUCUCUUGAUACCAAUAGCAUUGUCCAUGUCAUCAUGAGGUGGAGUGCCAAAAUGCCUGAAGCUUAUGACAUGGGUGAAGCUGCAAGUGCAAUGCAAGUGUUGAAUUGUGCUCCAUGAAUAGCAAGCCCAUUUGGGGAAUGUAUUUGAACAAUGACCCAAGCAGUCGCACAAGCAGAUCUGCACAUAUUAUUACCAAGGUUGCGAACUAGAUGCACCAUUGACAGCGAUGGCAGGUUUGGAUUGGCAAGGAGAAGAUGAGAAGAUAGUUGGGGAGUAAGAAGGUGUAAAAUCGACAAUAUCGUCUUAUGUGCACGAGGAUCCUAAUGGUAUAUGUUUGACACGAUUGAUGUUAAACUACUAAGAUAUGCGGUGGUGCGAGGUGGGGGUCGGCAAUGAGGCGGCUAUGCUGCAGGAGGCAGUCAAGUCUGAGGCUGCACUGGGGAGGCACGUGUGGUGCCUGCCCCCCAAGAUCCUGUUGGGGCGAGGCAUGGGCGGCACCCACCCUUCCUGUUAUUGCCCCGCGGGGUUGGGCCGCCCCUCUUCCCAGAGGUCGACACCAGUCAAUGUGCUCCUAAUUUCUACAGUAGCAGAGGCGACCAGGAGGGCACGUAUGGGGUGUGUACAUUGAAAGGACCACUAUGAUCAUGCCCGAUUCGCUUCGAGAAGGACUAUGGCAUCAAUUCCAAUGCCAUCUGUGAAACCUCCCUCUUCAAGGACACGCAACAUCCAAACAUGGUCAGUACUGCAACCCUCUUGUCUUCCUGUCCCUCCCUGCAUGGUGGUCGCUGUCAGCAUCAUGGUUUAGGGUGCCUUUCGUCCCGCUUGUAUGGAUGGAUAGGCUGGUGUGUUUUGUUCUUUCUUUCUUUGUUGCCACGUAGGUUGCAGGACGAGGUGCACACCUACACAAUGAGAAGUGCAUAUGCCGACUCAUCCUGGAGACCAAAACUUCAAAACCGCCACAUACACGUAAUCAAGGCAGAUGUUAACAAAAAAAUUAACUUUUUUGAUUUGAUUUUGUUUGGCUUGUUUAUCAAUUGUCUCUUACUAUUUCCUGAUAUUUCCUCAGUUUGGCCCUGAAAUACUGAUGUAAUUUGGUUGUAGCAACUUCCAAUGACAUUAAUAGAUGGUCGUGGUCUUUGCUUCUAUGAAAUAGUUUCCAGUUUAACAACUUCAA